GAUGAACGCUAGCGGGAGGCUUAACACAUGCAAGUCGAAGGGCAGCACGUCUUCGGAUGGUGGCGACUGGCGAACGGGUGCGUAACGCGUAUGCAACCUACCCUCAACAGGGGAAUAGCCCAGAGAAAUUUGGAUUAAUACCCCAUAGUAUUACAGAUUCGCAUGUUUCUGUGAUUAAAGUUCCAACGGUUGAGGAUGGGCAUGCGUGACAUUAGCUUGUUGGUGAGGUAACGGCUCACCAAGGCAACGAUGUCUAGGGGUUCUGAGAGGAUGAUCAGCCACACUGGAACUGAGACACGGACCAGACUCCUACGGGAGGCAGCAGUGAGGAAUAUUGGACAAUGGAGGCAACUCUGAUCCAGCCAUCCCGCGUGCAGGAAGAAGGCCCUAUGGGUUGUAAACUGCUUUUAUACAGGAAUAAACCCCUCUACGUGUAGAGGGCUGAAGGUACUGUAAGAAUAAGCACCGGCUAACUCCGUGCCAGCACG
rnacentral:rRNA from 1 species